UACGUAGGAGACGAGCGUUUGUCCGGAAUACUGGGCGUAAAGCGCGUGUAGGCGGAUGGGCAAGUCUGCUGUGAAAGCUCCUGGCUUAACCGGGAGUGGUCGGUGGAAACUGCCAAUCUGGAGGACGGUAGAGGUAGGUAGAAUUCCCGGUGUAGUGGUGAAAUGCGUAGAGAUCGGGAGGAAUACCUGUGGCGAAGGCGGCCUACUGGGCCGGACCUGACGCUGAGACGCGAAGGCGUGGGGAGCGAACGGG
rnacentral:rRNA from 1 species